AAUAUUUGCCAAUGGAGGCAACUUUGAACCAGCCACGUCGCGUGACGGCUGACGGCCCUAUGGGUUGUAAACUUCUUUUAUACAGGAAUAAAGAGAGUCACUUGCGUCUUUUUGCUACAACUCCCUGAUUAAUGAACGGCCAACUCCGUUCCUCUAGCCGCGGUAAUACGGAGGAUCCAAGCGUUAGCCGGAUUUAUUGGGUUUAAAGGGUGAGGAGGCGGAAGAUUAAGUCGGCAGUGAAGUUUUGCAGCUUAACGGUAAGAGUGCCAUCGAUACUGGUUUUCUUGAGUGUGGAUGAAGUAGGCAGAAUUUGUGGUGUAGCGGUGAAAUGCAUAGAUAUCACGAGGAACUCCGAUUGCGCAGGCAGCUUACUAGGCCAUAACUGACGCUCAGGCACGAAGGCGUGGGGAUCAAACAGG
rnacentral:rRNA from 1 species